rnacentral:rRNA from 1 species
GCCACGCCCGCUCAGAAACUUAAAGAAUUGACGGGGCCCGCACAAGCGGAGGAGCAUGUGGUUUAAUUCGAUGAUACGCGAGGAACCUUACCUGGGCUUAAAUGCUUAAUGACGUACUGGGAAACUGGUAUUUCUUCGGACAUUUUGCAAGGUGCUGCAUGGUUGUCGUCAGCUCGUGCCGUGAGGUGUCGGGUUAAGUCCCAUAACGAGCGCAACCCCUAUUGUUAGUUGCCAUCAGGUCAUGCUGGGGACUCUAACAAAACUGCCCGCGUAAGCGUGGAGGAAGGUGGGGAUGACGUCAAAUCAGCACGGCCCUUACGUCCAGGGCUACACACGUGCUACAAUGGCCGGUACAGAGGGCAGCCACUUGGUGACAAGGAGCAAAUCUCAAAAGCCGGUCUCAGUUCGGAUCGGAGUCUGCAACUCGACUCCGUGAAGUUGGAUUCGCUAGUAAUCGUAGAUCAGCAAUGCUACGGUGAAUACGUUCCCGGGCCUU